rnacentral:rRNA from 1 species
UACAGAGGGUGCGAGCGUUGUCCGGAAUCACUGGGCGUAAAGGGCGCGUAGGCGGCUUGAUAAGCGUGCGGUGAAAGCCCGGGGCUCAACCCGGGUCGGCCGUGCGAACUGUCGAGCUGGAGCACUGUAGAGGCAGGUGGAAUUCCGGGUGUAGCGAUGGAAUGCGUAGAGAUCCGGAAGAACACCGGUGGCGAAGGCGGCCUGCUGGGCAGUAGCUGACGCUGAUGCGCGACAGCGUGGGAGCAACAGG